rnacentral:rRNA from 1 species
UGGGGGAUAUUGCACAAUGGAGGAAACUCUGAUGCAGCAACGCCGCGUGAAGGAUGAAGGUCUUCGGAUUGUAAACUUUUGUACUUGGGGACGAUAAUGACGGUACCCAAGCAGCAAGCUCCGGCUAACUACGUGCCAGCAGCCGCGGUAAUACGUAGGGAGCAAGCGUUGUCCGGAUUUACUGGGUAUAAAGGGUGCGUAGGCGGCCAUACAAGUCAGUUGUGAAAACUAUGGGCUCAACCCAUAGCCUGCAAUUGAAACUGCGUGGCUUGAGUGAAGUAGAGGUAGGUGGAAUUCCCGGUGUAGCGGUGAAAUGCGUANAGAUCGGGAGGAACACCAGUGGCGAAGGCGACCUACUGGGCUUUAACUGACGCUGAGGCACG